rnacentral:rRNA from 1 species
AACGAACGCUGGCGGCAUGCCUAACACAUGCAAGUCGAACGAAACCUUCGGGUCUAGUGGCGCACGGGUUCGUCACGCGUGGGAACCUUCCCUUAGGUUCGGAAUAACUCCCCGAAAGGGGUGCUAAUACCGGAUAAUAUCUUCGGACCAAAGAUUUAUCGCCUUUGGAUGGGCCCGCGUUGGAUUAGCUAGUUGGUAGGGUAAAAGCCUACCAAGGCGACGAUCCAUAGCUGGUCUGAGAGGAUGAUCAGCCACACUGGGACUGAGACACGGCCCAGACUCCUACGGGAGGCAGCAGUGGGGAAUAUUGGACAAUGGGCGAAAGCCUGAUCCAGCAAUGCCGCGUGAGUGAUGAAGGCCUUAGGGUUGUAAAGCUCUUUUACCCGGGAUGAUAAUGACAGUACCGGGAGAAUAAGCUCCGGCUAACUCCGUG